rnacentral:rRNA from 1 species
CGGCACGGGUGAGUAACACGUAUCCAACCUGCCGUCUACUCUUAGCCAGCCUUCUGAAAGGAAGAUUAAUCCAGGAUGGCAUCAUGAGUUCACAUGUCCGCAUGAUUAAAGGUAUUUUCCGGUAGACGAUGGGGAUGCGUUCCAUUAGAUAGUAGGCGGGGUAACGGCCCACCUAGUCAACGAUGGAUAGGGGUUCUGAGAGGAAGGUCCCCCACAUUGGAACUGAGACACGGUCCAA